GCCAGGCGUGGUGGCACACGCCUGUAAUCCCAGCAGCUGGGGAGGCUGAGACAGGAGAAUCACAGGUUCAAAGCCAGCCUCAGCAACGGCAAAGUACAAAGUAACUCAAUGAGACUGUCUCUA
rnacentral:sRNA from 1 species